UUCUAACCUUACGCGGCGACGCUGCUUUUAAGUUCAUCAAUCCCAAUUCCCAAGCAGCCAAUCCAAAUCAGGAUUGAAUCUCUCCAUUCUCACACUCUCAUGACUAAAAUCCUGCAAAGAAAAUCAGCAAAUGGAAACAUAUUUGACAAAAAGGCCUUGAGUUUCAAGUGGAUCUUCUAUCAUUAGGCAAGAGUUACAAGAUUCAGACCAAAUAAUUGAUAAAGAUGAAGUUGAAGCUGACCCUGAUUGAGGACUCGUCUCCAAUUAUGAGGAUUUGUGGCUGCCCUUGUUGUCUUCGGUUUGCCGAGAAGCCAUUUCCGGCAGAUUGGCAUCUCGUAGACAUAUACCUAGAUUUAGUUUGUUUGUUUUUUUUUGUAAAGGCUCUAAAGUUUAAGUUUAAGAUCUCAUCACUUUAUGCUUCUGACUAUGGAGACUGUAUUUUCUUUUUGUUAAAUUCUAUCACUAUAUGCUUAUGUGUGAUGAAAUAAUUAAGGGAAACACAAAAUGGCUUCUGGUGUUACCUUUUU